GCCGGGCGAGCGGCGAGACGGGUGAGUAAUGCCUAGAGAAUCUGCCUGGUAGUGGGGGAUAACUCGGGGAAACUCGAGCUAAUACCGCAUACGUCCUACGGGAGAAAGUGGGGGAUCUUCGGACCUCACGCUAUCAGAUGAGCCUAGGUCGGAUUAGCUAGUUGGUGAGGUAAAGGCUCACCAAGGCGACGAUCCGUAUCUGGUCUGAGAGGAUGAUCAGUCACACUGGAACUGAGACACGGUCCAGACUCCUACGGGAGGCAGCAGUGGGGAAUAUUGGACAAUGGGCGAAAGCCUGAUCCAGCCGUGCCGCGUGUGUGAAGAAGGUCUUCGGAUUGUAAAGCACUUUACGUUGGGAGGAAGGGCAGUAAGUUAAUACCUUGCUGUUUUGACGUUACCAACAGAAUAAGCACCGGCUAACUUCGUGCCAGCAGCCGCGGUAAUACGAAGGGUGCGAGCGUUACUCGGAAUUACUGGGCGUAAAGCGCGCGUAUGUGGUUCAGCAAGUUGGAGGUGAAAUCCCCGGGCUCAACCUGGGAUCUGCCUCCAAAACUACUGGGCUAGAGUAUGGUAGAGGGUGGUGGAAUUUCCUGUGUAGCGGUGAAAUGCGUAUAUAUAAGAUGGAACACCAGUGGCAAACGCGACCACCUGGACUA
rnacentral:rRNA from 1 species